rnacentral:sRNA from 1 species
AGCCGACGAGGCAACAAUUAGGCUUUGGGGAUAAAACGAGGUGCGGAGAGCGGGCUGGGGCAUUUCUCCCCGAGAUGGCGGGUCUGACGGCGGCGGCCCCGCGGCCCGGAGUCCUCCUGCUCCUGCUGUCCAUCCUCCACCCCUCUCGGCCUGGAGGGGUCCCUGGGGCCAUUCCUGGUGGAGUUCCUGGAGGAGUCUUUUAUCCAGGGGCUGGUCUCGGAGGCCUUGGAGCAGGAGUGCUGGGGCCUGGAGGCAAACCUCUUAAGCCAGGUAAGACCCAAGGCCUCGGAGCAUUGAGAGACCGAGAGGGAGCUGGGGAGGGGGGAGCCUACCCAGCUGGGAACGGGACAAGGAAACCAGGAACGGGGCAAAGAAGCCAACGGGCAGGAGGAAGGAGGGAGGUGUGGACACCGAUUAACCUCCCAAGGAUGAGUAGGCCGGGGCCAGGUCCCAGGGCUUCCAGGAACAAGAGGCUGGAAGCAGCUCCAUGUCCUCCCUGUGUGAGGGCGUCUAACAUCUACCCUACACAUGCAUGUGUGUUCACCCAGCUGUCCAGAGACUCCUCUCUGCAAAGGAGAGGCU